ACGGAUCCUUCGGGAUUAGUGGCAGACGGGUGAGUAACGCGUGGGAAGCUACCUUGUGGUAGGGGACAACAGUUGGAAACGACUGCUAAUACCCUAUGAGCCCUAUGGGGGAAAGAUUUAUCGCCAUGAGAUGUGCCCGCGUUAGAUUAGCUAGUUGGUAAGGUAAUGGCUUACCAAGGCGACGAUCUAUAACUGGUCUGAGAGGAUGAUCAGCCACUCUGGGACUGAGACACGGCCCAGACUCCUACGGGAGGCAGCAUGUGGGGAAUAUUGGACAAUGGGGGCAACCCUGAUCCAGCCAUGCCGCGUGUGUGAUGACGGCCUUAGGGUUGUAAAGCACUUUCUGCAGCUGAAGAUAAUGACUUUAACUGC
rnacentral:rRNA from 1 species